rnacentral:rRNA from 1 species
GACGAACGCUGGCGGCGUGCCUAAUACAUGCAAGUCGAGCGAAGCGGCGGAUGGGUGAGUAACGCGUGGGAAACCUGCCCCUAAGUCUGGGAUACCAUUUGGAAUCAGAUGCUACUACCGGAUACUAAACGAUGUACCUGCGAUGGAUUAGCUAGUUGGUAAGGUAACGGCUUACCAAGGCAAUGAUGCAUAGCCGAGUUGAGAGACUUGUCGGCCAAAUUGGGACUGAGACACGGCCCAAACUCCUACGGGAGGCAGCAGUAGGGAAUCUUCCACAAUGGACGAAAGUCUGAUGGAGCAACGCCGCGUGAGUGAAGAAGGUGUUCGGAUCGUAAAGCUCUGUUGUUGGUGAAGCGGUAAUCAACCAGAAAGUCACGGCUAACUACGUGCCAGCAGCCGCGGUAAUAC